rnacentral:rRNA from 1 species
GACGAACGCUGGCGGCGUGCUUAACACAUGCAAGUCGAGCGGUAAGGCCCUUUCGGGGGUACGACGAGCGGCGAACGGGUGAGUAACACGUGGGUGACCUGCCUUUAGCUCUGGGAUAAGCCUGGGAAACUGGGUCUAAUACCGGAUAUGACCCUAUGGCGCAUGUUGUGGGGUGGAAAGCCUUGUGCGGCUAGGGAUGGGCCCGCGGCCUAUCAGCUUGUUGGUGGGGUGAUGGCCUACCAAGGCGACGACGGGUAGCCGGCCUGAGAGGGCGACCGGCCACACUGGGACUGAGACACGGCCCAGACUCCUACGGGAGGCAGCAGUGGGGAAUCUUGCGCAAUGGGCGAAAGCCUGACGCAGCGACGCCGCGUGAGGGAUGACGGCC